rnacentral:rRNA from 1 species
GAGUGAACGCUAGCUACAGGCUUAACACAUGCAAGUCGAGGGGCAGUCAGGAAGAAAGCUUGCUUUCUUUGCUGGCGACCGGCGCACGGGUGAGUAACACGUAUCCAACCUGCCCUUUACUCGGGGAUAGCCUUUCGAAAGAAAGAUUAAUACCCGAUAGCAUAAUGAUUCCGCAUGGUUUCAUUAUUAAAGGAUUCCGGUAAAGGAUGGGGAUGCGUUCCAUUAGGUUGUUGGUGAGGUAACGGCCCACCAAGCCUUCGAUGGAUAGGGGUUCUGAGAGGAAGGUCCCCCACAUUGGAACUGAGACACGGUCCAA